rnacentral:tRNA from 1 species
NCUCUAGUGGCGCAAUUGGUUAGCGCGUUCGACUGUUAAUCGAAAGGAUGGUGGUUCGAGUCCACCCUAGAGCG